AACGAACGCUGGCGGCAUGCCUAACACAUGCAAGUCGAACGAGACCUUCGGGUCUAGUGGCGCACGGGUGCGUAACGCGUGGGAACCUGCCCUUAGGUUCGGAAUAACUCCCCGAAAGGGGUGCUAAUACCGGAUAAUGUCUUCGGACCAAAGAUUUAUCGCCUUUGGAUGGGCCCGCGUUGGAUUAGCUAGUUGGUAGGGUAAAAGCCUACCAAGGCGACGAUCCAUAGCUGGUGUGAGAGGAUGAUCAGCCGCACUGGGACUGAGACACGGCCCAGAAUCCUACGGGAGGCAGCAGUGGGGAAUAUUGGACAAUGGGCGAAAGCGUGAUCCAGCCAUGCGGCGUGAGUGAUGAAGGCCUUAGGGUUGUAAAGCUCUUUUACCCGGGAUGAUAAUGACAGUACCGGGAGAAUAAGCUCCGGCUAACUCCGUG
rnacentral:rRNA from 1 species